UGGUGCUGUGCCUUGGGGAGAGCUGUACUCCUGAAGGUGAUGGCGAGCCACAAAGAAUGGGAUACGGCCCCUGAGCAGAGCAGUGGGGCUGAGGAGCGCUGGGAAAAUCCAACGUUCUCAAGAUGAUGUCAAGUGACAAAAAUAAAA
rnacentral:lncRNA from 1 species